AUUGAACGCUGGCGGCAUGCCUUACACAUGCAAGUCGAACGGCAGCACGGGGCAACCUGGUGGCGAGUGGCGAACGGGUGAGUAAUGCAUCGGAACGUACCUUUCAGUGGGGGAUAACGUAGCGAAAGUUACGCUAAUAACGCAUAUUCUGUGAGCAGGAAAGCAGGGGAUCGCAAGACCUUGCGCUGAUUGAGCGGCCGAUGUCAGCUUAGCUAGUUGGUGAGGUAAAGGCUCACCAAGGCGACGAUCUGUAGCGGGUCUGAGAGGAUGAUCGAACACACUGGCACUGAAAAACGGUCCAGACUCCAACGGGAGUCAGCAGUGGGGAAUUUGGGACAAUGGGGGCAACCCUGAUUCAGCCAUGCCGCGUGAGUGAAGAAGGCCUUCGGGUUGUAAAGCUCUUUCGGCCGGGAAGAAAUCGCACGGGCUAAUACCCUGUGUGGAUGACGGUACCGGGAUAAGAAGCACCGGCUAACUACGUGCCAGCCGCCGCCGUAAUAC
rnacentral:rRNA from 1 species